ACAGCAGUAGCCGCGGUAAGACAGAGGAUGCAAGCGUUAUCCGGAAUGAUUGGGCGUAAAGCGUCUGUAGGUGGCUUUUCAAGUCCGCCGUCAAAUCCCAGGGCUCAACCCUGGACAGGCGGUGGAAACUACCAAGCUGGAGUACGGUAGGGGCAGAGGGAAUUUCCGGUGUAGCGGUGAAAUGCGUAGAGAUCUGGAGGAAUACCGGUGGCGAAGGCGGCCCCCUGGACAAAGACUGACGCUCAUGCACGAAAGCGUGGGGAGCAAACAGGAUUAGAUACCCCGGUAGUCCCUGUCUCUUAUAC
rnacentral:rRNA from 1 species